rnacentral:tRNA from 1 species
GUAUUUUUAAUUUAAAGAAAGAAUGUUGGUUUUUCAUACCAUUAGUCAGUUUUAUAAAGCUGAAAAUAUA